AGUAGUUUGAUCAGUGGCUCGAGGACGACGCUGGCGGCGUGCUUAACACAUGCAAGUCGAACGGGGUACUUGUACCUAGUGGCGAACGGGUGAGUAACGCGUAGAUAACCUGCCUUUAAGUUGGGGACAACAGCUCGAAAGGGUUGCUAAUACCGAAUGUUGUAGUUUUAUCGCAUGGUAUUACUACUAAAGAUUUAUCGCUUAAAGAGGGGUCUGCGUCCGAUUAGGUAGUUGGUAAGGUAAAGGCUUACCAAGCCGACGAUCGGUAACCGGUCUGAGAGGAUGAACGGUCACAUUGGGACUGAGACACGGCCCAGACUCC
rnacentral:rRNA from 1 species